UACGUAGGCAGCGAGCGUUGUUCGGAGUUACUGGGCGUAAAGGGUGUGUAGGCGGUUUUCUAAGUUUGGUGUGAAAUCUCCCGGCUCAACCGGGAGGGUGCGCCGAAAACUGGGAGACUAGAGUGCGGGAUGGGAGAGUAGAAUUCCUGGUGUAGCGGUGAAAUGCGUAGAUAUCAGGAGGAAUACCGGUGGUGGUAGACGGCUCUCUGGACCGCCACUGACGCUGAGACACGAAAGCGUGGGUAGCAAACAGG
rnacentral:rRNA from 1 species